ACACCUCAACUCUCAUGGUUUGCCGUGAUGAGCUUGGACUCUGGGGGAUUUGCUGGCCUGCGGUCGGCUCCCCUCAAAUGAAUUAGCUUUCCAGUGUUUGGUGGCAUCACGGGUGUGAUAAAUAUCUACGCUUGUGGUUUCCUGCCAGGUAACCUUCAGUAAUGGGGGUUCGCUGGGGCUCAUAAACGUCUCUCCUCAGCGAAGACAGCUUUGUGAAUGU
rnacentral:misc_RNA from 1 species